CAAAUAUGGGUCAUGCAGGAUCAAAAACUAGGUCAUGUGGUUACUUAGUGCAUUUCAAGCAUUGAGCAUGGUGUCCGCUCUCUAAUUGAAGUAGUUUUCAUCUGAUCUUCACCUAAUUUGGUCAGAAGUUGUGUCUAGAUGAUAUGUAGGUCAUGUUGGAAUAUGGGUCAUGCAGGGUCAAAAACGAGGUCACAAGGUCACAUAGUGCAUUUCAAGUAUUUAGCAUGGUGUCCGCUCUCUUAUUGAAGUAGUUUUUAUAUGAUCUUCACCAAAUUUAGUCAGAUGUUAUACUAAAUGAUAUCUAGGUCAAGUUUAAAUAUGGGUCAUGCCGGGUCAUUAACUAGGUCUCGAGGUCACUUAGUGCAUUUCAAGCAUUGAGCAUGGUGUCCAAAACCUUCGAACGGGCGUAUCUUGUGACAGUUUGGCACUCUUGUUCAAAACUGACGAUGCAUGAAACUAUUUUCACUCAUAUUUUUUAUGUAAUUUAAAUGCCAAAAUUUAGAAAAUGCAUAUGAAUGGGAAACGGAACUGUAAGUAAGUAAAUAGUGUAACAGUUACUGUACAAACAACCCAUUUUUCAAAAGAAGCGUUUUUUUUUUGUAAACUGUACUGAUGGAUUUGCUAGUUAUUCCAUAGGUUGUUGAUAACUCGCGUUUGUUCAGCUAAUUUCAUUAUUUCUUUUAUAGCCAUUAUUGUGUUAUCAUGGUCAUUGAUGUGAACAAAAGCAAACUGUUAUUUUUACAGCAUCCAGUAAAAAUACCCAUAUUGUAAAUCUCACGGGUACUACUGCUCUAAUGUUUGAUCAAGAAUGCAUCUAAUGGAUAAUCAUCCUAGUGGUGUCACUCAAUUGAUUUUUGCAUGUAUAGGUAGGAGUACCUAGAGAUUGAGCUGGAGACAGUGAAGGUGCUGACCUCUGUGUGGAACACUUAGAAGCUGGCAAGUUUUCAUAUUGAAGGGCAUGGUUCCCAACCGCCCAUCACACACAGAAUGUAGCUUGUCGUCUUCCGCAGUAAAAACUGUACCAUUUUAAAAUGGAGGGGAUGGUGUUGGAGAUGCUACGGAGACUAAAGGGCAACAUGGCUUGCAAGAACUUCACCAUAAUAUCCUGAAGAGGAACAUGAGCUUGUCCAGGACCACUUCGCAAGCAAUGACCCACAAGUACUGGACAUUGCUAGAACUGCUCUGUGGGUAUGUUGCUGGGUGCUGGAAGAUGCUUUCUGCUAUAUUGACUGCUUCCGAGCGCUUCCUGGACCUAAAAAUCAUCUCCCAGCAGCAACCUCCCCAAGGUGUGACGAGAGUCUUCAAGCAUUAACAGUUAAAGCUCCAGUCCCAUUCAAGUGGAUACGGCAGUUCUCCCGCCACAACCCCCACACCCCACACACCCGGAUCAGGAUCCAGGACGUUCCGUGGACUUUUUUACGGAAUACCGUUAGUGCCAUCGAG